rnacentral:rRNA from 2 species
UACGUAGGGUGCGAGCGUUAAUCGGAAUUACUGGGCGUAAAGCGUGCGCAGGCGGUUUGUUAAGACAGGUGUGAAAUCCCCGGGCUUAACCUGGGAAUGGCGCUUGUAACUGGCAGACUCGAGUACGUCAGAGGGGGGUGGAAUUCCACGUGUAGCAGUGAAAUGCGUAGAGAUGUGGAGGAACACCGAUGGCGAAGGCAGCCCCCUGGGAUGAUACUGACGCUCAGGCACGAAAGCGUGGGGAGCAAACAGG